UAAUAUUUUGAUAAGUUUUUCUAUCAUUUAAUAGUCUUGAGGCUUCUCUGUUGUAGUCCUUCAAAAUUUAAAAGGACUAUUACUCCACCUUUAUCUGCUGGCUUGAUUAUGAUUGAAUUAUCUGUUUUGAAAUCCUCUAAACUCUGAUACUCUUUUUUUGACAAAUUCUGCUGGUAUUUAUUUGGCUUUUUCAUUUUGUUGAUAUCUGCCAUAACCAUUUUUUAAAAUGUUGACAUUUCACUCGAAAUUAAAUUCUUUGUAAUUUUUUUUAUUUGUUUCUCAAUGGUGUAUGUGUAUAAUUGUCUUCCUCUUUCCUAUUUGAGUUGGCCAUAAUUGGAUUUUUUUGAAAAAAAUUCUUUAUACAAAGAUUGCUUUUAAAUUUAUUAAGGUCAAUAUAUGUAUUGAAUUUCUUUAGAUUAUUUGUUGGGGCAUAUUUUAAACCCUUUUGGAGCAAUUUUAUUUGUGUUUGGUUUAAGGUUUUUGAAGUUAGAUUGACUGUUUUUCAUUUAUUGUUUCUAUGGAUGCCUUCUGUCUCAUUUUUCUCCUCUGUAUAUCCAAUCCCCCUCUCCUAUUUCGAGGAGAAAAAAAAAAUCACUUCCACCAACCACUGAUCAUCCGGCGGACACUUCCGCCAACCACUAAACACACUUCCGCCAACCACUGAUUAUACGGCAGUCACUUCCGACAGCCACUAAACCACCAAUGUAACGGAUCGCCUGGCACCCCGACUGGGUACCUCUGUUGAAGGAUGCUCCUAGCGCUUCCUGAGGACUCCAAGCACUCUGGCAGACACCACAAUCACCGAACCGGAGAAACAAAUAAAUUCUCCCAAGCAUAUGAAUG